rnacentral:rRNA from 1 species
UCCACGCCGUAAACGAUGAAUACUCGUUGUCUGCAAUAUACAGUAGGCGACUGAGCGAAAGCAUUAAGUAUUCCACCUGGGGAGUACGUUGGCAACAAUGAAACUCAAAGGAAUUGACGGGGGCCCGCACAAGCGGAGGAACAUGUGGUUUAAUUCGAUGAUACGCGAGGAACCUUACCCGGGUUUAAAUGCAGGACGAAACUCUGAGAGAUCGGGAGCCUCUUCGGACGGAC